rnacentral:rRNA from 1 species
GAUGAACGCUGGCGGCGUGCCUAAUACAUGCAAGUCGAGCGAACAGAUGAGGAGCUUGCUCCUCUGACGUUAGCGGCGGACGGGUGAGUAACACGUGGAUAACCUACCUAUAAGACUGGGAUAACUUCGGGAAACCGGAGCUAAUACCAGAUAAUAUAUUGAACCGCAUGGUUCAAUAGUGAAAGACGGUUUUGCUGUCACUUAUAGAUGGAUCCGCGCCGCAUUAGCUAGUUGGUAAGGUAACGGCUUACCAAGGCAACGAUGCGUAGCCGACCUGAGAGGGUGAUCGGCCACACUGGAACUGAGACACGGUCCAGACUCCUACGGGAGGCAGCUGUAGGGAAUCUUCCGCAAUGGGCGAAAGCCUGACGGAGCAACGCCGCGUGAGUGAUGAAGGUCUUCGGAUCGUAAAACUCUGUUAUUAGGGAAGAACAAAUGUGUAAGUAACUAUGCACGUCUUGACGGUACCUAAUCAGAAAGCCACGGCUAACUACGUG